CAUGAAUCUUACCGGCGAGCUCCCUGGCAAUGGAACGAGGCCUCAUGACGCGAGCGAUGUUCACGAUCUCAUCAAAGCUCACGCUGCCGCUGUGCUUAACUGGAAGAAACAGAAACAAGGAUGAAGUCUGGUUUAAGGUCUAUAAACGUCUACAGACGUCCAGUCUGGUUUUAGGUCUACAGACGUCCAGUCUGGUUUUAGGUCUACAGACGUCCAGUCUGGUUUUAGGUCUACAGACGUCCAGUCUGGUUUUAGGUCUACAGACGUCCAGUCUGGUUUUAGGUCUACAGACGUCCAGUCUGGUUUAAGGUCUACAGACGUCCAGUCUGGUUUAAGGUCUACAGACGUCCAGUCUGGUUUAAGGUCUACAGACGUCCAGUCUGGUUUAAGGUCUACAGACGUCCAGUCUGGUUUAAGGUCUACAGACGUCCAGUCUGGUUUAAGGUCUACAGACGUCCAGUCUGGUUUAAGGUCUACAGACGUCCAGUCUGGUUUAAGGUCUACAGACGUCCAGUCUGGUUUAAGAUCUACAGACGUCCAGUCUGGUUUAAGGUCUACAGACGUCCAGUCUGGUUUAAGGUCUACAGACGUCCAGUCUGGUUUAAGGUCUAUAGACGUCCAGUCUGGUUUAAGGUCUAUAGACGUCCAGUCUGGUUUAAGGUCUAUAAACAU